rnacentral:rRNA from 1 species
GACGAACGCUGGCGGCGUGCUUAACACAUGCAAGUCGAACGGAAAGGCCCUGCUUUUGUGGGGUGCUCGAGUGGCGAACGGGUGAGUAACACGUGAGUAACCUGCCCUUGACUCUGGGAUAACUUCAGGAAACUGGGGCUAAUACCGGAUAGGAGCUCCUGCUGCAUGGGGGGGGUUGGAAAGUUUCGGCGGUUGGGGAUGGACUCGCGGCUUAUCAGCUUGUUGGUGGGGUAGUGGCUUACCAAGGCUUUGACGGGUAGCCGGCCUGAGAGGGUGACCGGCGACAUUGGGACUGAGAUACGGCCCAGACUCCUACGGGAGGCAGCAGUGGGGAAUAUUGCACAAUGGGCGGAAGCCUGAUGCAGCAACGCCGCGUGCGGGAUGACGGCCUUCGGGUUGUAAACCGCUUUCGCCUGUGACGAAGCGUGAGUGACGGUAAUGGGUAAAGAAGCACCGGCUAACUACGUG